UAAGGGCGCACGGUGGAUGCCUUGGCACUAGAAGCCGAUGAAGGACGUUACUAACGACGAUAUGCUUUGGGGAGCUGUAAGUAAGCUUUGAUCCAGAGAUUUCCGAAUGGGGAAACCCAGCAUGAGUUAUGUCAUGUUAUCGAUAUGUGAAUACAUAGCAUAUCAGAAGGCACACCCGGAGAACUGAAACAUCUUAGUACCCGGAGGAAGAGAAAGAAAAUUCGAUUCCCUUAGUAGCGGCGAGCGAAACGGGAAGAGCCCAAACCAACAAGCUUGCUUGUUGGGGUUGUAGGACACUCUAUACGGAGUUACAAAGGACGACAUUAGACGAAUCAUCUGGAAAGAUGAAUCAAAGAAGGUAAUAAUCCUGUAGUCGAAAAUGUUGUCUCUCUUGAGUGGAUCCUGAGUACGACGGAGCACGUGAAAUUCCGUCGGAAUCUGGGAGGACCAUCUCCUAAGGCUAAAUACUCUCUAGUGACCGAUAGUGAACCAGUACCGUGAGGGAAAGGUGAAAAGCACCCCGGAAGGGGAGUGAAAUAGAACCUGAAACCGUGUGCUUACAAGUAGUCAGAGCCCGUUAAUGGGUGAUGGCGUGCCUUUUGUAGAAUGAACCGGCGAGUUACGAUUUGAUGCAAGGUUAAGCAGUAAAUGUGGAGCCGUAGCGAAAGCGAGUCUGAAUAGGGCGUUUAGUAUUUGGUCGUAGACCCGAAACCAGGUGAUCUACCCUUGGUCAGGUUGAAGUUCAGGUAACACUGAAUGGAGGACCGAACCGACUUACGUUGAAAAGUGAGCGGAUGAACUGAGGGUAGCGGAGAAAUUCCAAUCGAACCUGGAGAUAGCUGGUUCUCUCCGAAAUAGCUUUAGGGCUAGCCUCAAGUGAUGAUUAUUGGAGGUAGAGCACUGUUUGGACGAGGGGCCCCUCUCGGGUUACCGAAUUCAGACAAACUCCGAAUGCCAAUUAAUUUAACUUGGGAGUCAGAACAUGGGUGAUAAGGUCCGUGUUCGAAAGGGAAACAGCCCAGACCACCAGCUAAGGUCCCAAAAUAUAUGUUAAGUGGAAAAGGAUGUGGCGUUGCC
rnacentral:rRNA from 1 species